GCCUCGUGAUGCGACUGGGGUCGCAGCCCGCCUGUCUAGCGGGUGAGAGGGGUUCAAUUCCCCUACGAGGCGCCA
rnacentral:tRNA from 1 species